ACAAGAAAAGUGAUUUCAGCGUUUUUUAAAAUUCAUCCCCUAAAUGGGUUAAAAAGGGGUCCAAAAUUUGUAUGGGGUUCAAGUUUUAUUUUAAGCUAGCAAUUUGAAACUUCGUUAAAAGAUAUAUUAUUAAAAUACAAGAAAACUAAUUUCAGCGUUUUUGAAAAUUCAUCCCCUAAGGUGGUGAAAAGGGAGUUGAAAGUUUGUAUGGAGAUCAAA